rnacentral:rRNA from 1 species
ACUCCUACGGGAGGCAGCAGUAAGGAAUAUUGGACAAUGGAGGCAACUCUGAUCCAGCCAUCCCGCGUGUAGGAAGACUGCCCUAUGGGUUGUAAACUACUUUUAGAUAGGAAGAACGGCCGAGAUUUACUCUUGGUGUGACGGUACUAUCAGAAUAAGCACCGGCUAACUCCGUGCCAGCAGCCGCGGUAAUACGGAGGGGUGCAAGCGUUAUCCGGAAUCACUGGGUUUAAAGGGUGCGUAGGCGGCCUGGUAAGUCAGAGGUGAAAUGCACGAGCUUAACUGGUGAAUUGCCUUUGAAACUAUCAAGCUAGAAUUAUGUUGAGGUCAGCGGAAUGAGUCAUGUAGCGGUGAAAUGCAUAGAUAUGACUUAGAACACCAAUUGCGUAGGCAGCUGGCUGGGCAUAUAUUGACGCUGAGGCACGAAAGCGUGGGGAGCGAACAGGAUUAGAUACCCUGGUAGACUGUCA